UGUUUUCUAUAAUUUGGUGUUUGGACAUAUUGUGGCACUACAACAAAAAUGGUCUAUAGCGACACUUUUAAAUGUUGGUACAGAUAAAAAAAAGUGCUGCUCGCUAAAUUACCGACACUUUUAAAAAGUGUUGCUAUAUGUGGGGUCGCUAGGUAUAUAGCAACAGUUAAAGAGUAUCUAUAUAACCUAAAAAGAGUGCUGCUAAUUUACUAACACUUAUUUAAGCAUUUAGCAACCGCCGGAACUCUACUUCGUUGGCUACGGUGGUGGAGGAUGAGGAGAGAGAAGGGCUCUUCGUCUAGAAUUUCAGUGGAUUGAGUGAGGGGAGAAGGGGAGAUGGUAAUCGAUUUUUCUUUUUUUUUUUUUCUUUUCUGUUUGUAAUCGGGCCGAAUGGGCUGGGUGGGGUGGCCGAAUGGGCAUGGUGAGUUUUCGAAUAGAAAAAAAAGUGGUUUGAUGAUGUCGGCGGCAAAGAAAUUGCACCACGUGGUAAACCGGGAUGCACCGCAACAAUG
rnacentral:lncRNA from 1 species